AUUGAACGCUGGCGGCAUGCCUUAUACAUGCAAGUCGAACGGUAACGGGCCUUCGGGUGCCGACGAGUGGCGAACGGGUGAGUAAUGUAUCGGAACGUACCUUUCAGUGGGGGAUAACGUAGCGAAAGUUACGCUAAUACCGCAUAUUCUGUGAGCAGGAAAGCAGGGGAUCGCAAGACCUUGCGCUGAUUGAGCGGCCGAUAUCAGAUUAGCUAGUUGGUGAGGUAAAGGCUCACCAAGGCGACGAUCUGUAGCGGGUCUGAUAGGAUGAUCCGCCUCACUGGGACUGGGACACGGUCCAGACUCCUACGGGAGGCAGCAGUGGGGAAGUUUGGACAAUGGGGGCAACCCUGAUCCAGCCAUGCCGCGUGAGUGAAGAAGGCCUUCGGGUUGUAAAGCUCUUUCGGCCGGGAAGAAAUCGUAUCAGCUAAUACCUGGUGCGGAUGACGGUACCGGCAUAAGAAGCACCGGCUAACUACGUGCCAGCCGCCGCGGUAAAAC
rnacentral:rRNA from 1 species